UACGUAGGGUCCGAGCGUUGUCCGGAAUUACUGGGCGUAAAGAGCUCGUAGGUGGUUUGUCGCGUUGUUCGUGAAAACUCACAGCUCAACUGUGGGCGUGCGGGCGAUACGGGCAGACUAGAGUACUGCAGGGGAGACUGGAGUUCCUGGUGUAGCGGUGGAAUGCGCAGAUAUCAGGAGGAACACCGGUGGCGAAGGCGGGUCUCUGGGCAACAACUGACGCUGAGGAGCGAAAGCGUGGGGAGCGAACAGG
rnacentral:rRNA from 1 species